ACUCCAGUUUGACUCUAGAGGACUAUACGUCGACCGUCAUACAGGAGAUCUUCUCUUGAAGUUUCUUCUCCCAUUCAGUUGCCGCCUGAAAUUUUUCGAUGGCAGCAUUCUUUUCGAUGGUGACGGCUGCCACCUUAUCCAUCCAUGAUCGAUGAAAGUCGGCAAUCUUCUGAUAUCCUCUUUCUAAAGCAUGCAUAUCGUGUGCCCACUGAAAAUAGAAGAUAAGUCAAGUCAAACUUAAAAAAAAAGAAAGAGAGGAGGAGGAAUGUCAGAAAAAUACCCCAAGUAUCGCCAGGU
rnacentral:lncRNA from 1 species